UUCACUAUGAUGCAUUCAUUUUCUUUUGAUCACCUAACUUUAUAGUCAUCCAAACUAUUGUGAAACUUGGUCAUUUUCAUCUCACAUUGAGUGAAAAAUGAGUUCCUAUCAGCUAUAUUAUACAUUUCCAACUUGAUUAUGGGUGAGCUCACACUGUUGGUGUCAAUCAUCUUCGCCUUUUUCUUGCAUAAUAUAUACUCUCUCCAUAGCCAGCUCUGAAAAAAAUAUAAGGCUAAAAAAAAAAAUAUUUAAGCUAUUAGUCAUUGAUUUAUCAACAAACAAUAACAGUUAGAAAAAUUCUCGUGAAGGGGGCAUUUACAUUGGCUAACAGAGCUAUUUACAAUUAUUCUCAGAUAUUGGCCAUCAACGUCAUUUAAGUAUUGAGGGGCUCUCAUCGACCAAUU
rnacentral:lncRNA from 1 species